rnacentral:rRNA from 1 species
GCAAUUAGGACCGCCCAUCACAGGAUCAGCCCAAGAAAAAUAAAGGAAAAAGAGGAGACGACUGAAACAGGCAAAAGUAAGGGGUGUUGCUCGCCGCGCUCGAACUCCGUCUCAGUACUGCUAAAAAUCGAUCUCUAGAGUCAGCGUCUAGAGAGCUCCCGCUCGGCCACCAAUCCGCAGGUCAGGAGGAAGGGGGAAGGGUAGGAGACGAAGGAACAGGAGUUCGCGCGCGUCUCCCUCUCCGUUUUAGCUACGCUACCGCUAGGCCGACGCAACAGAAGAAACGAAGCGAACUGAAGCCGUCGAGGAGUAAAAGGGACACAACUAGACGCUCAGACACAGGGGGAGGAGUAGGAGGUAGGUACCAACCAAAACUAUACAAUUACGAUAUUCUCUUUAUAUGUAAUUCCUUGAAUCGAAGUAGUACAAGCUCACACCUAGUAGAAGUCCAAAGACAGUAUCUAGUACCUCCUUAGCGGGAGAACCAACCACGAAUAAGGGCAGGAGACGUCACGUAAAAACAUCACCUUUAGUGUCACCUUUAUAUCACCUCAAUAAUCACAUUAAAAUAUCGCAAAGUUACAUUAAAAAUCACGAGGACUCACACUAAACAGUACAGGUAAAUCCACACACACACUAAUCCACUGUCGUGGGACCAGGAAAGGAAAAAAAAGUAAACGAGAUCAAAUCACGUGUACAUGUACCGUUUCAAACCAACAUUGAAACCCAAAAAGACACGAGCCAAAACAACUAAAAGACAGGCCCGACCUUCGACCUAUUCAACCUUACACCUGGGCAAUUCUAAUACUACGACCACACACCUGGGCAAAUUCGAGCACUACGACCACCACAAAUUUUAGCCCCUGUUCAUCCUUGAUUGUGUCCUGUCCUCUGUGAACAUAGGACAUUAACCACCUUUUU